UUAAAAAAAAACUUGGCCGGUUCGUCGGCGCCGUCAUGGCGGGUGUGCUGAAGAAGACUACUGGCCUUGUGGGAUUAGCCGUAUGUGACACUCCACACGAGAGGCUAAGAAUAUUGUAUACAAAGAUUCUUGAUGUUCUUGAGCAAAUCCCUAAAAAUGCAGCAUAUGGAAAGUAUACAGAACAGAUUACAAAUGAGAAGCUGGCUAUGGUUAAAGCGGAACCGGAUGUUAAAAAAUUAGAAGAUCAACUUCAGUGUGGCCAAAUAGAAGAGGUGAUUCUUCAGGCUGAAAGUGAACUAAGUCUGGCAAGAAAAAUGAUGCAGUGGAAACCAUGGGAGCCGUUAGUGGAAGAGCCUCCUGCCAAUCAGUGGAAAUGGCCGUUAUAAUCAUCAUUAAAUGACUUUAACGGGUUAAUGGGAAAUUGAUACAAUUAAAUGUGUUAUAU